GUUUCUGUAGCGAAAUAAAUAGCGCGUUGGAGCUCUAAUCCAAAGGUCGUAAGUUAGAUUCCUACCGGGGAUG